CGAGUUAGGGGGCGGGGUAGAAUAGAGAAUGAGGGUGCGGUGUGAGGGUGGAUUUGGAUCCAGUGGAUGGCGGCGGCGGCGGCGACAAGGGACUGGACGGACGGCUAAACGAGCGCAGCGGAGGAGAGGGUAGUUGCCGCCACGAAGGGCCUCGAAGGAAGAUGGUACACCACGAAGGGGUGCCAGAUUCGGGUUCCACGGCGGAGUAGCAGGCGUCUUCUCCUCGGGGAGGUAGCGGGCGUCGGCUCCUCAGCUCAGCUGGCGGCAGCUCCUAGGUGCGGCGGAUGGUGGUCGCACAUCAGCUGGCGGCGGCCACGGUGGACUUCGAAGCUAGAUUGGGUCCCACUGCGACAGGCGUUGGCUCCUCGGUGGGACGGGAAACGUAGGUUUCCAAAACAGGACGGUAGGGAAAACGUGGUGGCCGCUCCCGGGGUUUUAAGUCGGGGACGUCGGACGUUCCUAGGGGUUGGUACGACCCACGAUUACUAACUCCAUACAUGACGAACCUAAACGAGUCGAUUUCUUUGUGUAGCGUUAGUACUACACAUGGCUGUUAACCGAGUAACACCGCUCUUCGGAAACAAAUCAGAGUUUGAAGGACCCCCUCUGAUCGCACUAAAAACCUGUCGGUAGUACCUGUUUGUAAAAAUAAAACAAGAAACCUGUUUAUGCCCAUAGCACAUUGGUUUGAAGGAACGUACACGAUGUUCACGCACCGUGGAUUCUACCGACCUUGUGAUUCGUCUAGCCCACCCGUACGGUUCUGACCGUUCCCGAUCAUUUCGUAGUAACACGUGAAGACCUUGUUGAUAGUACCUUCAUACCUUGAUUACGAUCGUUUUGAUGAGACACAUCAGUGGACUCCUUUUUCUACCUUGAAAUAAAAGGACGGGUUGUAAGAAAACCUUAGAGGAAAAAAUAUACGGUACGAAAAAGUUCGAUCAUGUCUAUUUCUAGAUCAGUGUUUCUAUUCCAUUAAACAAAGAUUAGAUGAUGUGGAAUAUAUAAUUCUCCAUGUUUCCCUCGCAGGUAUAUACGUUAAUAAGAGUUAACGUUGUAUUAACAAAUCAACUCGAUGACUUGAACGACUGUCCUUUUACGAGUUCCCAUUGUUGAACUUUUAAAAGGUCCAUUGAUUUAUUCUAUAAGACUGUGAAAUUUUCAACAACAAAAUCGGUCUGGUGUAAGAUAAACACAGUCGGAUGAUAUAAGAUGUCAAUGUGAUUCUUGCCUUCAUGUGGUCAUGGUCAAACAAAUCCAGUGAUGUUGUAACACCGGUAUCACCCACCUAAUCCUACGUUGUAGACAAACAUAGACGACCAUACCGUUAAAACGAUGAACGAUCCUCUACAAGUAGAGGUCGCAAAUAACGUCAAAGUUUUUCGUCAAGUUAGUGGAGCAUUAUCAAUACCACAUGAUUCUAAACCCAAUUUAUAGCCAAACUAUGUGCGACUUAAAACUCAAUCAGAGGUUUAUCUUCAACAUCACAUGAAGAAUUCGAAAGAUCUCUCAUAAAUAAACACAUAAAAAUGACCCGUCAAACUCUCGUUACUGGUGGAGUUCGAACGACAGGGGUUUAAUCAUAGAGAUAAGCCUGUACUAUGAUGUUUUCUUUGUUACGUAACUAUGAAAGGGACAAGGAACAUACAAACGAACGAUAAAUGUAUAAAUUGGAAGGUUUUAUCCCGGUGGUCAGUACAGUCCUUACGGUAACAUAAUAAUGGUGUGAACUUAACGACCGGCUGCUACCAUUAAGUAUGUUGACAUAAUAAACGUAACGAUUUGAUAGGACCAUAUAUAAAUCCUAGGAUACGAUGAAUAAAUCUAAUGUUUAUUUGAAAAGUACAAUUACAAAUACAGCCAUAUACACGGUCGAAUGUGGGUCUAAACAAAACGGAAUACGUCUUUGAUGACCUAUGAAAUGUAGUUCGAACUGGUUCAUACAGGGAACAACGAAGUCUGUAAUCAAUAGAAGGACGACAACAAUAUGGACCACUAUCUCGAGGUAACCAAAGAAGUUUCCCUGUUUACCGUCUUUUAUCGUUCAGGUGUUCAACUAGAUUCUACGAGGCACUAGCGAAAACAACUAUUGUAACAACUGUGGAAAACAAGUAUGUCUUCAAUUACAAUCGAACCACUAGCUUCUUAACCAGAGACGGUAGAUUAAAACAUCAUCAGUCACUAGUUUGUUAACCAGAGAAUCCUAGAAUCGGUAGUUUAAAACGUUGUUGAACAGAACAUACAGUUUGAAUACAUAAAGGAACUACCAACAUCGAGUGAACUCGUUUCUUUUGUUUACUUAGAAAUAUAUACAACUUACUUACAUACCUACUUACCGUC
rnacentral:rRNA from 1 species